rnacentral:rRNA from 1 species
AUACGUAGGUGACAAGCGUUAUCCGGAUUUACUGGGCGUAAAGGGCGUGUAGGCGGUCUUGCAAGUCAGAAGUGAAAUUCCUGAGCUCAACUCGGGCGCUGCUUCUGAAACUGCAGGACUUGAGUGCUGGAGGGGAUAGCGGAAUUCCUAGUGGAGCGGUAAAAUGCGCAGAUAUUAGGAAGAACACCGGUGGCGAAGGCGGCUAUCUGGACAGUAACUGACGCUGAGGCGCGAAAGCGUGGGGAGCAAACAGGAUUAGAUACCCUGGUAGUCCACACUGUAAACGAUGAAUGCUAGGUGUAAGAGGUAUCGACCCCUUUUGUGCCGGAGGCAACACAAUAAGCAUUCCGCCUGGGGAGUACGGCCGCAAGGUUGAAACUCAAAGUAAUUGACUGUG